GUUUGCGUGAGCCUGAGCGUAGUUCGAUUAGGUCUUUAUAAACCCCAAGUAAACGUUGAAAAAAGUGGUUCCUACAACAGCACGCUGCUCAGAACCAGUACUAGAGAUAGCCCUUAACUACUAUUUUUAAACACACUCCAAACGCAAAGGUUGCCUUUGCCUAACGGCAAACUUUUAGCCUUUUGCGAAGCACCAGCUGGGUUCAGUAGCUGAGACCGUCACUGCAAGAAAGUUCUGAGCAGACCAGGUCACCUCGCUUGGGCAGGUGGGAGCAGCCCCUCUCCUGCCUCGCUCCAUCCGAGAUGCGCCGGUACCCCGUCGCCUUUGCGUAAGGCCUCUGCACCAGUUGCAGCGUAGCCGUCUUUUUUCAGAGAAAUAUGACAGCAGAUAAUGACCGUGAAAAUUAUCCAAAAGAAGCUGUUGACAAUGACAGCAAGGAGCGGUGUCCAACUGUGACGAGGCAGGCGUCCGCAGCAAGUGUCAGACAAACGUUUGCCCUCUCUGUGAAAGCCCGGCGGAGCUGGCAGACUUGCUCAGGAACCGGAGCAGAUGGGUGUUACAGCCUCUUGGCCAGCAAUGCAUUUCCAAAGUCUUGUGGGGAGGCGUGAGUCAUUGCCCGUCCCGCUGCCUGUGAGCGGUGAAAAGUGCUUAGGACUGAGCUAUCUCACCAGUGGUUGUUCUGCUGAAGUAGAGGAGACUAAAAAAUAGUUACAAAAUACGCGGUAACCAUUGAGGGAAUGAUGUUAGAAGUCAGGUUUGUAAACUUAAUUCCUCAGCAUUCGGUUUUCCCAUGAGCCUCUUGUGGUUUUUUUUUUAUAACAUCAAAUAUAAGGAGAUUUGAGGGGUUUCAGUGAACGGGGACGAUUUAGUAGGGUUUACCAUACAGUAGCACGUAACUGUCCAUACAAAAUCUUGCAGCAGUUCAAUUCAUUUUUUUUUAAACGACCACUUUUCUAAAACAGAAAUAAAUUGAAUAUGGGGUAAAGCGAGUAGACUUUUUAAAGUUUCUGUUAAUUUGUUUUCCAAAAA